UGGCAAAUAGCAUCUAAACCAUCCAUAUCAAUUAUGAACGGCAGGGAUUUGAAAAGAGGUCUCCCCAUCCGCUAGUUAUACUGGCGGACUGAAUUAAAAACUAUUUUGGACAGAAAUGCCCUCAGUCAACGCACUGUUAAACAAAUUGCCCUAACUUUUCACCUGCAACUACACAAUCUCAAGUGAUUCCUCUUGCACAAUCUCAGGCGUUUCCUCUAGCAGCAUCGAUUCAUCUAGCAAAAUCCUUCAAUUGGCAAGAAAACUGCAAAAUUCGUUAGUGUGAAUUGAGAACUGAUCAAGAAUAGACCAAGGGAGGAUCAGGCUAAGUUAACUGGAAUCGCAUUCGGUCCCUCCUACCAGGUAUUCAUGUAUUGUACUUAUGAAUAGGACAAGAUACAGAUAGCAGUUUCAAGAUCAACUUCCAUGUUGUGUAAUAUUUAUUGAAUUCUGCUUUUCUUGCUUGCCUCAUUGAGAUCCUAACUACUUCAUUCCCAGUUUUGCAAAGAAAAACAGCUUCCAUCCAUGAGUUUAUGGCGGUUGAUGAUUCAUUGAUGGACAAGAUCAUCUCAGCGGACAUUGAAUCUAGUCUGGAUGCUGUUUUUCAACAAAACUUUAAGAAUGAAUGUUUGUUAUGGGAAGCUGUUUGUUGUGUUGUUGCUGUUGUACGGUAGGAAGCUGUUGCUGUAGCGUAAUUAAUCUGUCUGCUAGUUCCAGCGGACAGUGAUGUUUUUUUGUUUACCUGGCUUAGUAGGGAUAUAAAUUAAUGUCCAAAAAUAAUUUUUAUCCAGUCCGCUAGAAGCGGACUUUGGGAAGCAUUUUUUAAUCUGGGCCCU
rnacentral:lncRNA from 1 species